UACAGAGGUCUCAAGCGUUGUUCGGAUUCAUUGGGCGUAAAGGGUGUGUAGGUGGCGCGCUAAGUCGGGUGUGAAAUUCGGAGCUUAACUCCGAAACUGCAUUCGAUACUGGCGUGCUUGAGGACUGGAGAGGAGACUGGAAUUCGAUGGUGUAGCAGUGAAAUGCGUAGAGAUCAUGAGGAAGACCAGUGGCGAAGGCGGGUCUCGUGGACAGUUCCUGACACUGAGACACGAAGGCCAGGGGAGCAAACGGG
rnacentral:rRNA from 1 species